GAUGAACGCUGGCGGCGUGCCUAACACAUGCAAGUCGAGCGAACAGACCAGGAUUUUGCUCCUCUGACGUUAGCGGCGGAGGGGUGAGUCACAUGUGUAUAACCUACUUAUAGGACUGGGAUAAUUUCGGGAAACCGGCGCUAAUACCGGAUAACAUGUUGAACCGCGUUGUUCAACCGUGAAAGACGGUCUUGCUGGCAGUAAUGGCUGGAUACGCGCAGCAUGAGCUAGUUGUUAAGGUAACGGAUUACCAAGGCAACGAGGCGUAGACGACCUCAGAGGGUGGUAGGCUACAUGGGAAGUGAGACAGGGUCCCGACGCCUGCGGUAGGCAGCAGUCGGGAAUCUUCCGCAAUGGGCGAGAGCCGGACGGAGCAACGUGGCGGGAGUGAAGAAGGUGCUCGGAUCGGAAAGCUCUGUUAGUAGUGAAGAACAAAUGUGUAAGUAGCUAUGCAGGUAUUGACGGUACCUGAUCAAGAAGCCACGGCUAACUACGUG
rnacentral:rRNA from 1 species